rnacentral:rRNA from 1 species
UACGUAGGCGGUUAAAUAAGUCAGGUGUAAAAGGCAUUGGCUCAACCAAUGUAAGCACUUGAAACUGUUUGACUUGAGUAUAGGAGAGGUAAGUGGAAUUCCUAGUGUAGCGGUGAAAUGCGUAGAUAUUAGGAGGAACACCAGUGGCGAAGGCGACUUACUGGACUAUUACUGACGCUGAGGUACGAAAGCGUGGGGAGCAAAACAAG